UACAGAGGUCUCAGGCGUUGUUCGGAUUCAUUGGGCGUAAAGGGUGCGUAGGUGGCGCUGUAAGUCAGGUGUGAAAUUUCGGAGCUUAACUCCGAAACUGCAUUUGAUACUGCGGUGCUCGAGGACUGGAGAGGAGACUGGAAUUUACGGUGUAGCAGUGAAAUGCGUAGAGAUCGUAAGGAAGACCAGUGGCGAAGGCGGGUCUCUGGACAGUUCCUGACACUGAGGCACGAAGGCCAGGGGAGCAAACGGG
rnacentral:rRNA from 1 species